AUACUGUCAGUAUCGAAGGAACGCGGUGUCAUUUGGUGACUAUCCAGGUGAGUACAACCCCAAGGUGCACGGGCCCUAAGACCCCGCUCGCUUCUACGGUAAAGCCUGGCUGGGACGCCGCAACAAGACGCCCAACGCUGUGGCCGGAGCCGUGAACCGUGCAUGCUGGCGCUGGCAGUACAACUACGUGUUCCCGAAGCGCGCCGUGAUCGCUCCCUUCUUCCAGCUGACCGUCGCCAGCAUGACGUUCUUCUGUCUGAUUAACUACACCAAGUUGAAGCACCACAGGAACUACAAUACCACUAAGGGUCGCUGCCCAGUGGUCCUGCAUCUACAACAGAUUCUACACUUUCCACAAGACGUGCCAGAGGCGGGCAGCACUAAACUAUAUCUAUUUGGCUUUUGUGUUUUGAAAACUGCUAAAGUGAAUAAAAUGGCUGUGAAUAUCCAUGCUGCCAUAGACUCAG
rnacentral:lncRNA from 1 species